UACGUAGGGUGCAAGCGUUAUCCGGAAUUAUUGGGCGUAAAGAGCUCGUAGGCGGUUUGUCGCGUCUGCUGUGAAAACCCGAGGCUCAACCUCGGGCCUGCAGUGGGUACGGGCAGACUAGAGUGCGGUAGGGGAGAUUGGAAUUCCUGGUGUAGCGGUGGAAUGCGCAGAUAUCAGGAAGAACACCGACGGCGAAGGCAGCUCGCUGGGACGGUACUGACGCUGAGGCGCGAAAGCGUGGGGAGCGAACAGG
rnacentral:rRNA from 1 species